AGAGUUAAGAGAGACAGGGGAGGCACCAUGACCACUUAGGUGGUCCUCCUAGGGCGAGGCUUAUCCAUGGCACUGCGGGUGGGUUGACCCCUGCGAUUUCCCCAAAUGCGUGAAACCUGGCUGAAUAAUUUGUGGUACUGGGGGAGUGCGUUCGCGCUAUCCCUCG